rnacentral:lncRNA from 1 species
UUGUCGCUGGUCAAUGGAAUCCAUUCAUUGGGCUCAGCUAGACACUUGAUGUCAAAGCUGUCACCACUUAACUUGAACUGCUUCAUGACUUCAUUUUUCAGUUCCAUCAAUUUUGAAGAAAGGGAAACCUGAAGCUCUACAGUCUCCUCUUUAUAUGUUGCCUUUAUGGUCAUGAUCCUCUCUUUCUGCACUGGAUUUAUCUGCAGCAUAGGGCUCCCAACAGAAUCCCUGGAACUUUCAAGGUGUUGAUUCUGAGUAGGCUCAAGAAGAACUUUGAUUGUAUUCUUCCUUUGUGACAUCAUAUCAAACAUCAACUUCUGCAAGUCCACAUCAUUGGAUACUAAAAUGCAGUUAUUAUCUUCCUUUUGAUACUUGAUAUCAAAACUUCCAGUUGUCAAAUUUAACCUCUUUGUCACUUCUUUCUCAAAAUCCAUUAUCCCUGAUGAGAGAGAGAGUGGAAACUUAAUCAUGUCUUCCUUAAAUGCUGCCUUUAUCAUAAUUGUGCCUUCAUUUUCUGGUGCUGGUGGUGCCUUUAUACUCUCAUUCUGCACUGGAUUUAUCUGCAGCAUGGGGCUCCCAACAGAAUCCCUGGAACUUUCAAGGUGUUGAUUCUGAGUAGGCUCAAGAAGAACUUUGAUUGUAUUCUUCCUUUGUGACAUCAUAUCAAACAUCAACUUCUGCAAGUCCACAUCAUUGGAUACUAAAAUGCAGUUAUUAUCUUCAUUUUGAUACUUGAUCUCAAAACUUCCAGUUGUCAAAUUUAACCUCUUUGUCACUUCUUUCUCAAAAUCCAUCAUCCCUGAUGAGAGAGAGAGUGGAAACUUAAUCAUGUCUUCCUU